rnacentral:lncRNA from 1 species
CCCAUCUCACCCUGCAAGUACCAUCCCCCAUCUCACCUUGCAAGUACCAUCCCCCAUCUCACCCUGCAAGUACCAUCCCCCAUCUCACCAUGCAAGUACCAUCCCCAUCUCACCCUGCAAGUACCAUCCCCAUCUCACCCUGCAAGUACCAUCGCCCAUCUUACCCUGCAAGUACCAUCCCCCAUCUUACCCUGCAAGUGAAUACCAUCCCCAUCUCACCCUGCAAGUGAAUACCAUCCCCAUCUCACCCUGCAAGUGAAUACCAUCCCCAUCUCACCCUGCAAGUGAAUACCAUCCCCCAUUCCACCCUGCAAGUGAAUACCAUCCCCCAUCUCACCCUGCAAGUGAAUACCAUCCCCAUCUCACCCUGCAAGUGAAUACCAUCCCCAUCUCAUCCUGCAAGUGAAUACCAUCCCCAUCUCACCCUGCAAGUCAUAGCCAGCUGAUUUUGGCUUUCAGUUUAGUGUCUGUAUCUUACACCUUAUUUUGUUUUUGUUUUUC